CUACCACCAUUUCUUCUCCAGCUUCUCACCUGUCCGGAGAUCCUCCCUCGCGCCACGCGAGCCCGAGCCAGAAACCCUAAAUUCUCUCUCCGAUCCCUUCCGCCAUGGAUAUCCGUGAUGUUGCGAAGCUUAAUAUUUUAAUCUUGAUGUCCUUCCUCUGUCUUCAAGCCAGGGCGGAGAGUAGCCCUUCGGUCUUCUUUCUUGAUGGCGCUUCUCAAAGGUAUAUUCGGAAUCGGCCAGUGGAUGCUGCAGACGAGACCAGUUCAAUGUCAUUAUAUGAAGUUGCGGCAGUCAUAUCAGUCUUGCUUGGUUUUGCACCACCUUCCUCGCUUCCUGCUGAUUCUUCAUAUAAGCUAAAUGAGGUUCUAGCUGCCAAUCCAUUUGACAGGCCUCAUGCUGUUAUGAUUCUAGAAGUUAAGGGAGUUGACGGGCGACUGCUGUCUGCUGACUACUUAAACACCCAAGUGGGUAGUGUCUUCAAAAGUAGGGUUAUUGGUUCAAGUAAAGCUGAAAUUCAACUUCCAGGUGAGGAUGAAGUUUCUGUUGUUCCUUUGGAUGACCCUUUAAAUGUUGAGUGUAAUGCUGCUUGUGUUGAUAAGGAGCUCAGCAAUCUUGCAAGCUGGCUGGGGGGAUCCCUAGAUGAAGAAUUGAGUGUUCCUUUGCCGAGUGGUAGCACUUUGAAGCUGGAUCUUUCAAAGAAAGCAGACCUGCAUUAUGCAUCUAGUCUAGUAUCCCUGUUUAGAAGUAUCAAGAAAGCAGUGGAGAUUCAUGAAGAUUUGGCUGGUAGCAGCGCGAGCCCUGCAGAAUUAUUGAUAGGCCAUUUCACAAGCAUUGAGGUGCUGGAAGAGGAAUAUGGUCCGGGAGACAUUACUCAGCAUGGAGUAGAGUUGUUUCAGACAAUUCUUGCCAAGCUGUUUGAUUUGCUACAAACAUCUUAUAGAGGGAAAAUUGUUGGAGUUAUCGUGUCAAAUGUGGAGCCCUCCCACUCAGGAGCGAUGUUAGAUGUGACAUUUUCAGCACGGGUUUCACGAUGGUUAAAAGAAGUAAAAGCAACUAAUGGAACCACGUCAGAGGUGUUACUGGUCAGGCGAAGUUUGGCCUGGAUAACUGGAGUCAUCCUUCUUGUGUCAACUAUUAUUGGGGUCUACCUUCUACUGAACAUGCCGCUUACGAGGGACACCCUUCUCUAUUCCAAUGUCAAGCUUGACUGAUUCCUUAAGAGGACUGUGCUCUGGAAGCAGCUAGCGACAGGUUUAUGGGUGAUGCUGUGAUUGAGGGUUUCCAUAGACUUGUCCUUGGCUUGGCCGUGCAAAAAUAGACAAUCAUUUUUUUAUUGCGUAUCCCACUCUUAUUUAUCUGUGACUGCACCAUUGAGUGGAAUGCUUUGAGUCGUUGUAUUCGGUCAAUGAAGCCUUCCUUGAGAAAGUUUGGGACGCGGUGAGUCAGCAUCCAUCAUUGAGGUUGUCCAGGAAAGUUCUGCUGAAGUUUGAAUCGAGUGGGUAUUUAGCUUCUAUCCUGGCAGCCAAUUUGAAUGAUUCAAGUAUAGUAAAGCCUAGUGGAGGAUGGGCAAAUAUUAAUCUGCUUUAGAUGACUAAACUGUUGAGGCACGACUUAUCCAGAGAUCUUACAGCAUUUGAAUGGAUUUGAACCUAAACCACUUGGUAUAAGUUUAUAACAAUCAAUGACUUGGUAAACUGGUAUUCUAAAUGCAGUUUAAAAGUUUUAUGUAACUUGAUAUAUGUGCUCCCUUUUUUGGCUGGCCUAUGCACUUCUCUUGUUCCUCUAUCUCCAGAUGGAGCAAAAACUGGAUAGAGAGGAAUAUACUUUAUAAAGAUGGGAAUACUUCUAGAUCUAUGGUAGAGUCGGUCAUCCACGCCUUGGAGAUUUUCUUUGUAUUUGUUACUAUAAUAGGGACAGAUGGCCUCUGCUUCUGCUUCCUUCCCUUGCAUCAGGACUGUAAGCAACUAUGGAGAAGUCCAGACUCAGUCAUAACGAAGCCCAAAGAUGGUGGAGGAACAAAAAACAAAAAAGAAAACAUUUGUCAUCCAGCUGCAAAGCUUUGCCCAUUAUACAAUAAGGUAGGCGCAUAAAAUAACAUCAGCACACAUGGAUGUGCAUUUCGACUUUGAAUGCUGCAGCCAUGUUGCUAGGUUGCAAACUUGGAUCCUUUGUCCACAGAAUUGUCUUCCUUCAGGUGACUUUCUUUCUCCUCUUGCAUCAACUCUAUUUAACUCCAAACAUUGCGUUAACCAGAUAGUCAAUGCGCCCCAUAUUAUGUUCUCCCAAAAGUGUAUUCAGAGAUUUUCCUUUUUUAUCUCCCCUUUUUACAUGCAGGUACUGGUUUGAGACCCAGCAGCAUGGACAGUUGAUGGACACUACCGCUCCCUUGUCUACCUGCAUCCAGGCUGUUUGGCCAAUGCAAGAAGUCUAGAAGAUGCCGGUUUGAGGAGUACAUGUAAAAGUAGGUGUUUCUUUUCGAUGUGUCCAUCAGUGACAUCUAUUUGGUUAUUGAGAUCUACUGGCGAAUCAUUGAGAGGAGUCGCUAUUAUUAUUCUCUGUAGCAUUGAGCAAACGCUAACCCAGCUACAUCCAAGUUCAUCUUAAAACUAAUUUUAUCGUCUGUA